AUUGAACGCUGGCGGCAUGCCUUACACAUGCAAGUCGAACGGUAACAGGUUAAGCUGACGAGUGGCGAACGGGUGAGUAAUGUAUCGGAACGUGCCCAGUCGUGGGGGAUAACGUAGCGAAAGCUACGCUAAUACCGCAUACGAUCUACGGAUGAAAGCGGGGGAUCGCAAGACCUCGCGCGAUUGGAGGGGCCGAUAUCAGAUUAGGUUGUUGGGGAGGUAAAAGCUCACCAAGCCUGCGAUCUGUAGCUGGUCUGAGAGGACGACUAGCCACACUGGAACUGAGACACGGUCCAGACUCCUACGGGAGGCAGCAGUGGGGAAUUUUGGACAAUGGACGCAAGUCUGAUCCAGCAAUGCCGCGUGCAGGACGAAGGCCUUCGGGUUGUAAACUGCUUUUGUACGGAACGAAACGGUGAGCUCUAAUACAGUUUGCUAAUGACGGUACCGUAAGAAUAAGCACCGGCUAACUACGUGCCAGCCGCCGCAGUAA
rnacentral:rRNA from 1 species